ensembl:lncRNA
GUAACAGCUACACUUCUUUUCUUCUUUCCGACAUAUGUGCUAAUGAUAUGCAUGUGUACUGUACAUUAUAAUAUACAUAUGUAACAAUAGCAUUAUAUGCUUUAAAAAUAUGACACUCAUGUAUAUUUCUUCUGCAGUGCGAUAAGAGCAACAUGCCAGGGUGAAGGCAAGGGUGAAGGCAAGGGUGAAAGGCAAGGAAGUGGACUUAUCAAAGCAACAGUGUUGUUAAUUUGAAGAACAAUGGCAGAUACAAACCCAGAUAAAAUCCCUCAGUGCGAAAAGAGCAAACCAUGCCACGGUGAAGGCAAGGGUGAAGGCAAGGGUGAAGGCAAGGGAAAAGGACCAGGACAAGGGCAAGGUCAAGGCAAGGGUCAGGGUCAUGGUCACGGACACGGUCACGGACCUGGAAAGGAUGGAAAGGAUGGCAAAGGCAAACCAUAAUGAAAGGAGCUGAAUGAAGAGACGUCUGAAGUCUGUCUGAUGCUGUUGUUUUUUUUCUUGCACCAUGACUAAUAAACUAAAACAUGUAUAAUUAUACCACAUAUGUUUGUUUUUAAUUAAAUGAUCAUCAAUAAAGUGUUUGGUAUCAAAGAAUGGCUUUUAGAAUCGUUGACUCCUUAAGCUUUGAAAUUCCAAAUAUAAAACGAAAUGAAGUAGCUGUGGCAAG